AGUAAGGUGGCUGAGAGAAUAAGUAAUAGAUUGUAAAUCUACAAACAAAGGUUAAAAUCCUUUCCUUACUA
rnacentral:tRNA from 1 species